rnacentral:rRNA from 1 species
CGGCCCAGACUCCUACGGGAGGCAGCAGUGGGAAUAUUGCACAAUGGGCGAAAGCCUGAUGCAGCGACGCCGCGUGAGGGAUGAAGGCCUUCGGGUUGUAAACCUCUUUCAGCAGGGAAGAAGCGCAAGUGACGGUACCUGCAGAAGAAGCGCCGGCUAACUACGUGCCAGCAGCCGCGGUAAUACGUAGGGCGCAAGCGUUGUCCGGAAUUAUUGGGCGUAAAGAGCUCGUAGGCGGUUUGUCGCGUCUGGUGUGAAAACUCGAGGCUCAACCUCGAGCUUGCAUCGGGUACGGGCAGACUAGAGUGCGGUAGGGGAGACUGGAAUUCCUGGUGUAGCGGUGGAAUGCGCAGAUAUCAGGAGGAACACCGAUGGCGAAGGCAGGUCUCUGGGCCGCAACUGACGCUGAGGAGCGAAAGCAUGGGGAGCGAACAGGAUUAGAUACCCUGGUAGUCCAUGCCGUAAACGUUGGGCACUAGGUGUGGGGCUCAUUCCACGAGUUCCGUGCCGCAGCAAACGCAUUAAGUGCCCCGCCUGGGGAGUACGGCCGCAAGGCUAAAACUCAAAGGAAUUGACGGGGGCCCGCACAAGCGGCGGAGCAUGCGGAUUAAUUCGAUGCAACGCGAAGAACCUUACCAAGGCUUGACAUGCACGAGAAGCCACCAGAGAUGGUGGUCUCUUUGGACACUCGUGCACAGGUGGUGCAUGGUUGUCGUCAGCUCGUGUCGUGAGAUGUUGGGUUAAGUCCCGCAACGAGCGCAACCCUCGUCCCAUGUUGCCAGCGGGUUAUGCCGGGGACUCAUGGGAGACUGCCGGGGUCAACUCGGAGGAAGGUGGGGAUGACGUCAAAUCAUCAUGCCCCUUAUGUCUUGGGCUUCACGCAUGCUACAAUGGCCGGUACAAAGGGCUGCGAUACCGUAAGGUGGAGCGAAUCCCAAAAAGCCGGUCUCAGUUCGGAUUGGGGUCUGCAACUCGACCCCAUGAAGUCGGAGUCGCUAGUAAUCGCAGAUCAGCAACGCUGCGGUGAAUACGUUCCCGGGCCUUGUACACACCGCCCGUCAAGUCACGAAAGUCGGUAACACCCGAAGCCC